GACGAACGCUGGCGGCGUGCUUAACACAUGCAAGUCGAACGGAAAGGCCCUGCUUUUGUGGGGUGCUCGAGUGGCGAACGGGUGAGUAACACGUGAGUAACCUGCCCUUGACUUUGGGAUAACUUCAGGAAACUGGGGCUAAUACCGGAUAGGAGCUCCUGCUGCAUGGUGGGGGUUGGAAAGUUUCGGCGGUUGGGGAUGGACUCGCGGCUUAUCAGCUUGUUGGUGGGGUAGUGGCUUACCAAGGCUUUGACGGGUAGCCGGCCUGAGAGGGUGACCGGCGACAUUGGGACUGAGAUACGGACCAGACUCCUACGGGAGGCAGCAGUGGGGAAUAUUGCACAAUGGGCGGAAGCCUGAUGCAGCAACGCCGCGUGCGGGAUGACGGCCUUCGGGUUGUAAACCGAUUUCGCCUGUGACGAAGCGUGAGUGACGGUAAUGGGUAAAGAAGCACCGGCUAACUACGUG
rnacentral:rRNA from 1 species